CACGUAGGAGCCUAGCGUUAUCCGAAUUUACUGGGCGUAAAGCGCGUGCAGGCGGUUCGGUAAGUUGGGUGUGAAAUCUCCUGGCUCAACUGGGAGAGGUCGCUCAAUACUGUCGAGCUAGAGGAUGGUAGAGGGAGGUGGAAUUCCGGGUGUAGUGGUGAAAUGCGUAGAUAUCCGGAGGAAUACCAGUGGCGAAGGCGGCCUCCUGGACCACUCCUGACGCUCAGACGCGAAAGCUAGGGGAGCGAACGGG
rnacentral:rRNA from 1 species